AGAGUUUGAUCCUGGCUCAGAAUCAACGCUGGCGGCGUGCCUAACACAUGCAAGUCGAACGAGAAAGGGUAGCAAUACCUGAGUACAGUGGCGCACGGGUGAGUAACACGUGACUAACCUACCCUGGAGUGGGGAAUAACUGAGGGAAACCUUAGCUAAUACCGCAUAAUACCUACGGGUCAAAGGAGCAAUUCGCUUCAGGAGGGGGGUCGCGGCCGAUUAGUUAGUUGGCGGGGUAAUGGCCCACCAAGACAAUGAUCGGUAUCCGGCCUGAAAAGGCCCCCGGACCCCCUGGGAAACCUGAAACACGGUUCCAGACUCCUACGGGGAGGCAGCAGUGGGGAAAUUUUGCGCAAUGGGGGAAACCCUGACGCAGCAACGCCGCGUGGAGGAUGAAGUACUUCGGUACGUAAACUCCUUUCGAUCGGGACGAUUAUG
rnacentral:rRNA from 1 species